rnacentral:rRNA from 1 species
UGAAAGGAAGAUUAAUACAAGAUGGCAUCAUGAGUCCGCAUGUUCACAUGAUUAAAGGUAUUCCGGUAGACGAUGGGGAUGCGUUCCAUUAGAUAGUAGGCGGGGUAACGGCCCACCUAGUCUUCGAUGGAUAGGGGUUCUGAGAGGAAGGUCCCCCACAUUGGAACUGAGACACGGUCCAAACUCCUACGGGAGGCAGCAGUGAGGAAUAUUGGUCAAUGGGCGAGAGCCUGAACCAGCCAAGUAGCGUGAAGGAUGACUGCCCUAUGGGUUGUAAACUUCUUUUAUAAAGGAAUAAAGUCGGGUAUGGAUACCCGUUUGCAUGUACUUUAUGAAUAAGGAUCGGCUAACUCCGUGCCAGCAGCCGCGGUAAUACGGAGGAUCCGAGCGUUAUCCGGAUUUAUUGGGUUUAAAGGGAGCGUAGAUGGAUGUUUAAGUCAGUUGUGAAAGUUUGCGGCUCAACCGUAAAAUUGCAGUUGAUACUGGAUAUCUUGAGUGCAGUUGAGGCAGGCGGAAUUCGUGGUGUAGCGGUGAAAUGCUUAGAUAUCACGAAGAACUCCGAUUGCGAAGGCAGCCUGCUAAGCUGCAACUGACAUUGAGGCUCGAAAGUGUGGGUAUCAAACA